rnacentral:tRNA from 1 species
AGCACUGUGGUCUAGUGGAAAGAACACAAGACUGGGAGUCAGGAGACCUGGAUUCUAAUUCCAGCUCUGCCA